GACGUAGGGCGCGAGCGUUGUCCGGAUUUAUUGGGCGUAAAGAGCUCGUAGGCGGCUUGUCGCGUCGACCGUGAAAACUUGGGGCUCAACCCUAAGCCUGCGGUCGAUACGGGCAGGCUAGAGUUCGGUAGGGGAGACUGGAAUUCCUGGUGUAGCGGUGAAAUGCGUAGAGAUCCGGAGGAACACCAGUGGCGAAGGCGACACGCUGGGCCGUACCUGACACUGAUGCGCGACAGCAUGGGGAGCAAACAGG
rnacentral:rRNA from 1 species